CUCCUCCACUGUUGCUGCAUUUCUCUUCUUUCUUGUCUUCCUCUUCCCCAUCUCUCUCUUCCGUCCCCUCACUCACACGCACCACGCUGUUGCCACUCGCCGUGCUGGCUCCACUGCCCUCCAUCCCCGCCCCGCUCCGGACCUCCCCACCUGCACGGGACACGGCCAACGACGUACAACUACCGUCCAAAUCGAUGCGUAUAGUCUGGACCAGCCAUGGAGACUUUCCUUCCUCGCCCCCCUCCUCGUCAGCCCGCAUCUGGCAUAGAUUAGUUGCCUACGUCUCCGUCCCCUGAUCGCUCCACUCCCCAUCAGCCUCGCCAGGUAUGUCUCGUCCUCGCCUCCCCCUCCUCGCCAGCCUUGCGUCUGGUCUGGAUUAGCCGCCUCUAGCUCCCUCCCCAUAUCGCCCCACCAACUGUCAUCCUCACCAGGUAUGUCUUGUGUUCCCUCACCUUGACGCUUCUCCCUUCUCGGCCACCCACUUCGUUGGUUUCCAUCAGCGCCCAUCGCUGAUUCGGGUCUCCUUGCUGUUUAGCGUCGCGUCUCGUGAAAGACGAUGCUGCAAUCUGGAGGACAUGGAUUAGAUGGGUGCCACACACUGCUUUUAUAUGGAUCUAAUGAUUGUGGCCUUGAACAUUCUCGCCAGACAUGUCUCGCAUUUUUUACAUGGAUUAGAUGAGUACAUGGAUCUUUAUUUAAUCCUAAGGUAAUUGAGAUUGCGAAGAAGAUGAAAGAGGAGAGGGUCAGGUUGCUUGCUUCAGAAUAUUUUGCUUACAGCUGAUAUGACUAGAUCAAAUCAGUUGCAUUGUGACAAUGUCGGUAGGAUGUCAGUUUCCCUUUUAACUUGGCUCUCGUUUGCUUAUUGUGUAAUUUGUGUAUAUCCCUGAGAUGAACAUUUUGGUAAUCUGGGUGCUCAUUCAAUGGGUUGAUUUGAUCUUCAAGUAUUUAAUCUGGGUGCUCAUAUAAGUGGUUGAUUUUCAUCUUCAAGUAUUUAAUCGAGUGGUUUCACGCAAAUAGGUACUGAAGCCCAUAUGACUAUGCAUGAUCUAGGACAUAAUGUUUGGAAUAAAUAAUAACAUGGAUAUCUAGCCAUGUGUAAUCUGUGUGUAAUCUUUUCACUGGGUCAGUUAAUCUUCUGUUUCAACCAAAAAUGUGCAGAUUAUGUCACUACUUAAUUUGCUUUGGCUUUGAAAGAUGCAGGGAUCUUCUGUUAAAUUGAUUUACCUAGGAUCCUGCUACAAGCCUACAAGAGCUUACCUCAUUAUAUCUCUGUGAGAUUACAGCAAAAAUAUCCAGCUUCUAUAUAUUUUAUUGCUACACAGGUUUGACUGUUUCUAUGUUGGUCAUGGAUAUGGUUCGGUUUUACUACUGUAAAAAGGGAUUGAAAAACGUAACCUGAUUUUGAUUUUUUUGUUUGGAUCAAGAUGAAAUGGUAGGUUCCUCGAAGGACAAACCAUGCUGAGGAGACACGGAGGCGACAGAGCUAGGGCAGCAGCACAACCAUCACAGAGAUUAUUGAGUCUCCAGCUUAUGUCCUACAACCGAAGAGCUAAUACAAGCAUAAUCUUCUUCAGCCAGAUAGAUGUACUUUUAUAUACCUCACUACAACUGUUACAGAGUUGAUUUUGCUCACAUGUUCGUACAAAAACCCUACAUCGAGAAUGUACAAAUGUAGCAAAGCAGAUUUAUUCCUCUUUGUUUGGUAUUUCAUUACUCUUUCAGUUUGCCCAAAAAAAGAAUAAGUCGUGCCUAUUCUACCAUAUUGCUGCAACAAAAUUUUGAUUUGCUUAGUAA